GGGGCUCUAGCUCAGUUGGUAGAGUGCUUGCCUGGCAUGCACCAGGCCCUGGGUUCAAUCCCCAGCACCA
rnacentral:tRNA from 1 species